AAAGAACCGAUUCCUGUCUACAGAAAAUAAUUCGAGAAAAAUUCGAAUCUUGUACGGUGUUGACAAUAGCCCACAGAUUACAUACAAUUAUUGAUUCGGAUAGAGUUUUGGUAUUAGAUACAGGAAGAGUACAAGACUUUGACUCGCCGUAUGCGUUACU